rnacentral:rRNA from 1 species
GACGAACGCUGGCGGCGUGCUUAACACAUGCAAGUCGAACGGUAAGGCCCUUCGGGGUACACGAGUGGCGAACGGGAGAGUAACACGUGGGUGAUCUGCCCUGCACUUCGGGAUAAGCCUGGGAAACUGGGUCUAAUACCGGAUAGGACCCUGGGAUGCAUGUCCUGGGGUGGAAAGCUUCUGCGGUGUGGGAUGGGCCCGCGGCCUAUCAGCUUGUUGGUGGGGUGAUGGCCUACCAAGGCGACGACGGGUAGCCGGCCUGAGAGGGUGACCGGCCACACUGGGACUGAGAUACGGCCCAGACUCCUACGGGAGGCAGCAGUGGGGAAUAUUGCACAAUGGGCGCAAGCCUGAUGCAGCGACGCCGCGUGAGGGAUGACGGCCUUCGGGUUGUAAACCUCUUUCAGCACCGACGAAGCGCAAGUGACGGUAGGUGCAGAAGAAGGACCGGCCAACUACGUGCCAGCCGCCGCGGUAA